rnacentral:rRNA from 1 species
UACGUAGGGUGCGAGCGUUAAUCGGAAUUACUGGGCGUAAAGGGCGCGUAGGCGGCGCUGCAAGUCAGGCGUGAAAUUCCUGGGCUCAACCUGGGGGCUGCGCUUGAGACUGUGGUGCUAGAGGAUGGAAGAGGCUCGUGGAAUUCCCAGUGUAGAGGUGAAAUUCGUAGAUAUUGGGAAGAACACCGGUGGCGAAGGCGGCGCGCUGGUCCAUUACUGACGCUGAGGCGCGACAGCGUGGGGAGCAAACAGG